GAGCCAGACUCCUACGGGAGGCAGCAGUGGGGAAUAUUGCACAAUGGGGGAAACCCUGAUGCAGCAACGCCGCGUGGGUGAAGGAGCGUUUCGGCGCGUAAAGCCCUGUCAGCGGGGAAGAAGAAAGACGGUACCCGACCAAGAAGCCCCGGCUAACUACGUGCCAGCAGCCGCGGUAAUACGUAGGGGGCAAGCGUUAUCCGGAAUCACUGGGUGUAAAGGGAGCGUAGACGGCUGAGCAAGCCUGAAGUGAAAGGCAGGGGCCCAACCCCUGGACUGCUUUGGGAACUGUACGGCUGGAGUGCAGGAGAGGGAAGUGGAAUUCCUAGUGUAGCGGUGAAAUGCGUAGAUAUUAGGAGGAACACCAGUGGCGAAGGCGGCUUACUGGACUGUAACUGACGUUGAGGCCCGAAGGCGUGGGGAGCAAACAGGAUUAGAUACCCGAGUAUCA
rnacentral:rRNA from 1 species